AAUAACUUCAGGAACACUGUCAUGGCAAACAGUCUGUUUAUUGUAACGCAGCACAUUACAGUUGAAAAACAAACAAAGACGCUUGGAUGUACACAAAACAACAUGCCUGUAGUAUAAUCUUCAAUAAUAAGGUUAUAUAAAAUAAAAUAAAGAAGGGAUCAAUAAAACGAUUCUGGAUCAAUAAAACGUGUCCCGGGUCAUGCUCGUAAAAAAAACACAAAGCUCUACCGACAGACCACCACCACAUCCCAAAAUACUUCUUCAGGCAAUCAUGGAAGUACCAAAAGAAUGUACAUUGUCAGCCUACAGCCCUGAACGAACACUUUGCUGAAAGAGAGAAACCCACAGGUAUCCUAAAGACAAACGCCAGGAGACCAAGGGUGCAUCUACUUAGGCUGUUGUGGCUUCCUCUCCUAGUCUCCUCUCCUUAUCUUCAUCUGAACUGAUCUGAGAACACAGACUUAAGUGAAAACAAAAUGGCUUUACUUAGCUUGCACCUGUCCAGAUUACUUCAGUGAAGAUGGAGGAGAGGAGAGAUGUCUUGACUAUUUAGAUGCCCUAAAACAUCCGUCCUAAUCCUGGCUGACUUCACACCUCACAAAGCCCCGUCAUCAAUCGACACUAGAACCGAUCACCAAACCAAACGAGAAGAAGAUGAAUGAAAACAGCACCAGACUACUUCCUGGUUUUCUCAGGAAGUUAUUAUGUGAUCGUCACAAGGUUUUCAACACUAAAAGGUCUACAGCAACAUUUACCAAACUAGGGGGUCGCGACCCCCUGUGGGGUCGCCUGAUUUGAAAAUGGGGGUCGCCUGAUUUGAAAAUGGGGGUCGCGACCCCCUGUGGGGUCGCCUGAUUUGAAAAUGGGGGUCACGAAACUAUGAAAUAAAAACAAUAAAAAUUACACUUGGUUCAUAGAAGCAGGGUUACAUCAGUAACCUCCGGUAGACGCUAAAUGUGUCUCUAGCUUUUGAAAAGACCCUAUCACUGAAAGAUAGGAACACAGAUGUGUCUGUUCUGUUUCCUUCUACAAUUCCCACAAGCUGUGCAGGACUGACUAGAACAGAGUGGAUAAGACCAGGCACUAAAUCAGACUGGGGGAACUAAAUCAGACUGGGGGAACUAAAUCAGACUGGGGGGAACCAAAUCAGACUGGGGGAACUAAAUCAGACUGGGGGGAACCAAAUCAGACUGGGGGAACUAAAUCAGACUGGGGGAACUAAAUCAGACUGGGGGAACUAAAUCAGACUGGGGGGAACUAAAUCAGACUGGAGGGAACUAAAUCAGACUGGGGGGGAACUAAAUCAGACUGGGGGGAACUAAAUCAGACUGGGGGGAACUAAAUCAGACUGGGGAGAACUAAUAGCCUGGUGAUCUUGUGAACUUCCCAAUAUGUUUCUGACGCAUUUCAGUCCCUUCAAACCACACCUCCUUCAGAUUGAAAUAAUGUCAAAAGUACUGUCAGACAGAUUUGUAAUAGACUGUCAUUGGCCGUUGAUUUACAUCCCUUGUUUUUACAUGGUGAGGUCGCGGCCCAAACAGUUUGGGAACUCCUGGUUUAGAGUCAUAGAGUUAGAUCAGUAACGAUGAUAAAUGGUCCUGCUUUAGUCUUCACUAGAGGAAGUUCACUAACGCUGUCCUGCUUUAGUCUUCACUAGAGGAAGUUCACUAACGUUGUCCUGCUUUAGUCUUCACUAGAGGAAGUUCACUAACGUUGUCCUGCUUUAGUCUUCACUAGAGGAAGUUCACUAACGUUGUCCUGCUUUAGUCUUCACUAGAGGAAGUUCACUAACGUUGUCCUGCUUUAGUCUUCACUAGAGGAAGUUCACUAACGUUGUCCUGCUUUAGUCUUUACUAGAGGAAGUUCACUAACGUUGUCCUGCUUUAGUCUUCACUAGAGGAAGUUCACUAAUGUUGUCCUGCUUUAGUCUUCACUAGAGGAAGUUCACUAACGUUGUCCUGCUUUAGACUUCACUAGAGGAAGUUCACUAAAGUUGUCCUGCUUUAGUCUUCACUAGAGGAAGUUCACUAACGUUGUCCUGCUUUAGUCUUCACUAGAGGAAGUUCACUAAAGUUGUCCUGCUUUAGACUUCACUAGAGGAAGUUCACUAACGUUGUCCUGCUUUAGUCUUCACUAGAGGAAGUUCACUAACGUUGUCCUGCUUUAGUCUUCACUAGAGGAAGUUCACUGUCCUGCUUUAGUCUUCACUAGAGGAAGUUCACUGUCCUGCUUUAGUCUUAACUAGAGGAAGUUCACUGUCCUGCUUUAAUCUUCACUAGAGGAAGUUCACUGUCCUGCUUUAGACUUCACUAGAGGAAGUUCACUAACAACGCUUUUGUCUUUGGCAGCUGUAGCUCUAGCACAGAGCAGGGGACCAGUUCCAUUUCAAGUCAGACCCUUCAGGGAUCAUCUAAACUGAAAUGGGCCGUGGCCCCGCCCUACUACAGCAUAGGGAUUGUAUCGGAGCGGACUGAGGGGUUCUGAGUCUAGUUGGCAUUACAGAAGAAGAGGAUAUAUCUACAAUAAAUAUCAUUAAAAUCCUCCACUAUAGAAAGAGGCUGAGGUUAUUUCACAUAAAAAGUAUAAAUAACAACUUAUUCCUAUAUUAAUAGAAGAAUGUAACCGUGCCUAAGAGGGGUCUCUCCUAAGGUUCAGCGUCUCGUGGAAGAGGGGUCUCUCCUAAGGUUCAGCGUCUCAUGGAAGAGGGGUCUCUCCUAAGGUUCAGCGUCUCAUGGAAGAGGGGUCUCUCCUAAGGUUCAGCGUCUCGUGGAAGAGGGGUCUCUCCUAAGGUUCAGCGUCUCAUGGAAGAGGGGUCUCUCCUAAGGUUCAGCGUCUCGUGGAAGAGGGGUCUCUCCUAAGGUUCAGCGUCUCAUGGAAGAGGGGUCUCUCCUAAGGUUCAGCGUCUCAUGGAAGAGGAGUCUCUCCUAAGGUUCAGCGUCUCGUGGAAGAGAGGGUCUCUCCUAAGGUUCAGCGUCUCAAGGAAGAGGAGUCUCUCCUAAGGUUCAGCGUCGAAAAGGAAGAGGGGUCUCUCCUAAGGUUAUAUUCUGUCACACAGAUGAUGCCUCUAUAUGUUUGACAUCACAUGACCUAUGACCCCUGUACCGAGGUGAGUGAACCAGGCAUUUAAAAUGUCAUUUCAGAGUUCUGACAGUGUUGUACUUGUGCUUGCCACAUACUGUAAAGCAGCGAUGUUAUGUUGUUACGCCAAUUAACUAUCAACAGGAAGUGACAUCAUUGACUAUCAACAUGAAAUUACAAUUAACUGUCAACAGGAAAUGGCUGAGGAGAAACCAGCGGACGUUGUGUGACGUGACCAGCUCAAGACCAGCUCAAUCAUACAGGUAUUUGUAGUCCAUUCAACACGAAUAACUACAUUACCCAUCAGGCCUAGCGUCAGUGAGGACAGUCCUGGAGCAGAGGGUGAAUGGCUUUUUACUCUUCAGAAAUCUAGUGUGUUCUGGAAACCUCCUAAACUCACUACUCCUUCUGUUUCUGCAGAUCUGAAGAGAAUUGGAUAGGUAGGUAUACAUCAGCAACAUGGUGAUGGCUUCAAUAGCCUUUCUAUGGACAUAGAGAAACUACUGCCACAUUGCUUAUACCUAUUCAGUCCCUGUAGAUCUGUAGAUGUUGCAGGGGAUAGGAUAGUGGGGAUUCAGACUGAAGACCAGUGGUGUAUUCAUUAGUGACUGUUGCAAAACGUUUUGACAAUGGAAGACGGUUUGCAACGAAAAAUGAGAGUUUCUAUUGGACAAAUUCAGAUAAGUCCCUCCCGUUUGGUUUGCUUCUGUUUGGUUCCUAGUGAAUACACCCCAGAAAGAUUCCCCCUGUGGAUGACCUGACGAGAACCAUAACAGGAUGUCAUAAUAUUACAGUAUUGCAAAGAAACAUCAUAAUGUCACAUCAAGGAAACAUCAUAUUGUCACAUCAAGGAAACAUCAUAAUGUCACAUCAAGGAAACAUCAUAAUGUCACAUCAAGGAAACAUCAUAAUGUCACAUCAAGGAAACAUCAUAAUGUCACAUCAAGGAAACAUCAUAAUGUCACAUCAAGGAAACAUCAUAAUGUCACAUCAAGGAAACAUCAUAUUGUCACAUCAAGGAAACAUCAUAAUGUCACAUCAAGGAAACAUCAUAAUGUCACAUCAAGGAAACAUCAUAAUGUCACAUCAAGGAAACAUCAUAAUGUCACAUCAAGGAAACAUCAUAUUGUCACAUCAAGGAAACAUCAUAAUGGUUUCAUAAUAAAAUAUCACAUUGGUUACGUGACUUGCCUAGUAAAAUAAAGGUUAAAGGCUAUAAAGUAUUGUGUUUUAUCCCUAAACUAUGUCAAUAAAUCCAGCUCCCUAAACUAUGUCAAUAAAUCCAGCUCCCAAUAAAUCCAGAUCCCUAAGCUAUGUCAAUAAAUACAGCUCCCUAAACUAUGUCAAUAAAUACAGCUCCCAAUAAAUCCAGAUCCCUAAGCUAUGUCAAUAAAUCAAGCUCCCAAUAAAUCCAGAUCCCUAAGCUAUGUCAAUAAAUACAGCUCCCUAAACUAUGUCAAUAAAUCCAGCUCCCAAUAAAUCCAGAUCCCUAAACUAUGUCAAUAAAUCCAGCUCCCAAUAAAUCCAGAUCCCUAAGCUAUGUCAAUAAAUACAGCUCCCUAAACUGUCAAUAAAUACAGCUCCAUAAACUAUGUCAAUAAAUCCAGCUCCCUAAACUGUCAAUAAAUCCAGCUCCAUAAACUAUGUCAAUAAAUACAGCUCCCUAAACUGUCAAUAAAUCCAGCUCCAUAAAUUAUGUCAAUAAAUCCAGCUCCCUAAACUG